rnacentral:rRNA from 1 species
GACGAACGCUGGCGGCGUGCUUAACACAUGCAAGUCGAACGGAAAGGCCCUGCUUUUGUGGGGUGCUCGAGUGGCGAACGGGUGAGUAACACGUGAGUAACCUGCCCUUGACUUUGGGAUAACUUCAGGAAACUGGGGCUAAUACCGGAUAGGAGCUCCUGCUGCAUGGUGGGGGUUGGAAAGUUUCGGCGGUUGGGGAUGGACUCGCGGCUUAUCAGCUUGUUGGUGGGGUAGUGGCUUACCAAGGCUUUGACGGGUAGCCGGCCUGAGAGGGAGACCGGCCACAUUGGGACUGAGAUACGGCCCAGACUCCUACGGGAGGCAGCAGUGGGGAAUAUUGCACAAUGGGCGGAAGCCUGAUGCAGCAACGCCGCGUGCGGGAUGACGGCCUUCGGGUUGUAAACCGCCUUCGCCUGUGACGAAGCGUGAGUGACGGUAAUGGGUAAAGAAGCACCGGCUAACUACGUG